rnacentral:rRNA from 1 species
CGCGCAGGCGGGCCGGCAAGUUGGAAGUGAAAUCUAUGGGCUUAACCCAUAAACUGCUUUCAAAACUGCUGGUCUUGAGUGAUGGAGAGGCAGGCGGAAUUCCGUGUGUAGCGGUGAAAUGCGUAGAUAUACGGAGGAACACCAGUGGCGAAGGCGGCCUGCUGGACAUUAACUGACGCUGAGGCGCGAAAGCGUGGGAGCAAACA